rnacentral:rRNA from 1 species
AGAGUUUGAUCAUGGCUCAGAACGAACGCUGGCGGCAGGCUUAACACAUGCAAGUCGAACGGGUGUAGCAAUACAUCAGUGGCAGACGGGUGAGUAACACGUGGGAACCUUCCUAGGGGUACGGAACAACUCAGGGAAACUUGAGCUAAUACCGUAUACGUCCGUGAGGAGAAAGAUUUAUCGCCAUUAGAGGGGCCCGCGUCGGAUUAGCUUGUUGGUGAGGUAACGGCUCACCAAGGCGACGAUCCGUAGCUGGUCUGAGAGGAUGAUCAGCCACACUGGGACUGAGAUACGGCCCAGACUCCUACGGGAGGCAGCAGUGGGGAAUAUUGGACAAUGGGGGCAACCCUGAUCCAGCAAUGCCGCGUGAGUGAAGAAGGCCUUAGGGUUGUAAAGCUCUUUCGGCGGGGAAGAUGAUGACGGUACCCGCAGAAGAAGCCCCGGCUAACUUCGUGCCAGCAGCCGCGGUAAUACGAAGGGGGCUAGCGUUGUUCGGAGUUACUGGCGUAAAGGGCGCGUAGGCGGCUUGACAAGUCAGCGUGAAAGCCCCGGCUUAACCCCGGAAUUGCGUUUGAUACUGUCUGGCUHGAGUCCCGGAAGAGGAUGGCGGAAUUCCCAGUGUAGAGGUGAAAUUCGUAGAUAUUGGGAAGAACACCRGUGGCGAAGGCGGCYAWCUGGWCCGGWWCUGACGCUGAGGYGCGAAASSGUGGGGAGCAAACAGGAUUAGAUACCCUGGUAGUCCACGCCGUAAACKAUGRGUGCUAGMYGUCRGSGGGYUYRCUCGCCGGUGUCGCAGCUAACGCDUUAAGCACUCCGCCUGGGGAGUACGGUCGCAAGAUUAAAACUCAAAGGAAUUGACGGGGGCCCGCACAAGCGGUGGAGCAUGUGGUUUAAUUCGAAGCAACGCGAAGAACCUUACCAGCCCUUGACAUGGGGAGUAUGGGUCGCAGAGAUGUGACCCUUCAGUUCGGCUGGCUCCCACACAGGUGCUGCAUGGCUGUCGUCAGCUCGUGUCGUGAGAUGUUGGGUUAAGUCCCGCAACGAGCGCAACCCUCAUCUUCAGUUGCCAUCGGUCAGGCCGGGCACUCUGAAGAAACCGCCGGUGACAAGCCGGAGGAAGGCGGGGAUGACGUCAAGUCCUCAUGGCCCUUACGGGCUGGGCUACACACGUGCUACAAUGGCGGUGACAAUGGGAUGCAAAGGGGCGACCCUGUGCCAAUCUCAAAAAGCCGUCUCAGUUCGGAUUGCACUCUGCAACUCGAGUGCAUGAAGUUGGAAUCGCUAGUAAUCGUGGAUCAGCACGCCACGGUGAAUACGUUCCCGGGCCUUGUACACACCGCCCGUCACACCAUGGGAGUUGGUUCUACCCGAAGCCGGUGCGCUAACCGCAAGGAGGCAGCCGACCACGGUAGGGUCAGCGACUGGGGUGAAGUCGUAACAAGGUAACCGUA